rnacentral:rRNA from 1 species
AGAGUUUGAUCCUCGGCUCAGGACGAACGCUGGCGGCGUGCCUAAUACAUGCAAGUCGAACGCUUCUUUUCUACCGAGUGCUUGCACUCACUUGAAAAGAGGAGUGGCGGACGGGUGAGUAACACGUGGGUAACCUACCCAUCAGAGGGGGAUAACACUUGGAAACAGGUGCUAAUACCGCAUAAUAGUCGACAUCGCAUGGUGUUGAUUUGAAAGACGCUUUCGGGUGUCACUGAUGGAUGGACCCGCGGUGCAUUAGCUAGUUGGUGAGGUAACGGCUCACCAAGGCCAUGAUGCAUAGCCGACCUGAGAGGGUGAUCAGCCACACUGGGACUGAGACACGGCCCAGACUCCUACGGGAGGCAGCAGUAGGGAAUCUUCGGCAAUGGACGAAAGUCUGACCGAGCAACGCCGCGUGAGUGAAGAAGGUUUUCGGAUCGUAAAACUCUGUUGUUAGAGAAGAACAAGUAGGAGAGUAACUGCUCUUACCUUGACGGUAUCUAACCAGAAAGCCACGGCUAACUACGUGCCAGCAGCCGCGGUAAUACGUAGGUGGCAAGCGUUGUCCGGAUUUAUUGGGCGUAAAGCGAGCGCAGGCGGUUUCUUAAGUCUGAUGUGAAAGCCCCCGGCUCAACCGGGGAGGGUCAUUGGAAACUGGGAGACUUGAGUGCAGAAGAGGAGAGUGGAAUUCCAUGUGUAGCGGUGAAAUGCGUAGAUUAUAUGGAGGAACACCAGUGGCGAAGCGACUCUCUGGGUCUGUAACUGACGCUGAGCUCGAAGCGUGGGGGAGCAACAGGAUUAGAUACCCUGG